rnacentral:tRNA from 1 species
UGUGUGUAGUCCAGUGGUAGAGCACAUGCCUAGAAUGCAUGAGACUCUGGGUUUGAUCUCCAGCACUGCAA